UAGGGAAUCUUCCACAAUGGACGCAAGUCUGAUGGAGCAACGCCGCGUGAGUGAAGAAGGCUUUCGGGUCGUAAAACUCUGUUGUUGGAGAAGAAUGGUCGGCAGAGUAACUGUUGUCGGCGUGACGGUAUCCAACCAGAAAGCCACGGCUAACUACGUGCCAGCAGCCGCGGUAAUACGUAGGUGGCAAGCGUUAUCCGGAUUUAUUGGGCGUAAAGCGAGCGCAGGCGGUUUUUUAAGUCUGAUGUGAAAGCCCUCGGCUUAACCGAGGAAGCGCAUCGGAAACUGGGAAACUUGAGUGCAGAAGAGGACAGUGGAACUCCAUGUGUAGCGGUGAAAUGCGUAGAUAUAUGGAAGAACACCAGUGGCGAAGGCGGCUGUCUGGUCUGUAACUGACGCUGAGGCUCGAAAGCAUGGGUAGCGAACAGGAUUAGAUACCCUUGGUAGUCCAUGCCGUAAACGAUGAAUGCUAGGUGUUGGAGGGUUUCCGCCCUUCAGUGCCGCAGCUAACGCAUUAAGCAUUCCGCCUGGGGAGUACGACCGCAAGGUUGAAAC
rnacentral:rRNA from 1 species